UGAGGGGUAUGCUUCGACAAGCACUCUACUAUUAUUUUCUCCUCCGUCAUUCUCUCUGCCUUCACUCCCAACACCUCCUCUCUCACCCUUGCAAAUUGCACGAGCAAAAGACUAAGAAAGUGAGAAGGAAAAUAAAGAAAAAGAGGAAACUGUGAGAAGAUUGUGUGGGGGAAAGAGAAUUUCUUCAUGCUAGAAGUUCUCACUCUUCCACCCUUUCCAAUCGUGUUUUCCAUAAGGAGGGCCUCAUUUUUCCAUGCAAGAAAAUGAAGAAGUGAGAGAACAUAAAAGGAAUAAAAGGAAAGUGUGAGAAAGAUUGAGUGUGGGAGCAAGAAUUUCUUCAUUAUUGAAGUUCUUACUCUUCCACUCUUUCCAAUCUUAUUUUCGAAAAAAAAAUCCUCAAAUCUCUACAGAAGAAAAGAAAAAAAAAUAAGUAAAGAGGAAGAAAAUCAAAAGGGGAUCUCCCCCACUCUUACUUCUUGAAGGAAAAAGAAGACUAUACUUUAACUCGUUCUACGAUCCUAGAGGAAUCAUCUUACGUACUAUCUUUUGGAUUUUAAAACCUCUAAAGGUGUAAAAGUAGUAACACAUUUCUAAGGUACUUGAUCUAUGGUGGCGAGUUAUCAAAAGCUUAAUGGGUCAUGACCUUUCUGCAAAAUUUACUACUUUAAUAGGGAUGGAUGGGAUGGUGAAAAUUAGGACACACUGUAUGUCCUUUCGAGAUGAAACAUCUAUAGAAUAUAUCAUUCUGAAAAGUGGAGCAAAUUUCCUCCUUGUUUGCAAGGUUCAUCAAUUUAACUUCUCCUCAAGCUGCGAGGAGACUCUUCAAGGCACUCCCAUAUGCAUUAUGGGAGAUCUUCAAGUUGAAGAAAACUUGUCAGGUUACUUAUGCUCGCUUGCAGGCAUGAUGGAUUUCUUUUGUAAUAUGUUUUGAGUUAUAUAUGAUUUUAGUUCUUGUGGAUAUUAUUUCUAUUGGGAGAUCUAUUGGGCUGUGAAGAUGUUGGUGGCCCAUCAUAAAACCAAUGGUUGGUUGAAGUUUUAGCCUACAAAGUUGCAGAAGAUAGGAGGAAUUUGCUGAUUUCUUGUUGUCAUGGCUUCUGCCUUACUCACUUUCUCUUCAUGGCCUGGUGUUCAUUAAUUCUUUGUUAUUUUUUGUUAACUUCAUCAUUUUAUGGCUUUGUAGCCAAAAUGAGCCUUUGCAAAGUUAUGUAUUGUGUUUUAAUGUUUUAAUAAGUGAACCUUGUAAGAUGCAAGGAAUUUUAGAGAUGAGACUGUCCAAUGAAUUUUAUUGUUCAAUAUUUAAGAUAAAACUAAUCAAAUACAUCUAAUUGCUGUUGUACUA